rnacentral:tRNA from 1 species
GCAGGGGUUGCCGAGCUUGGCCAAAGGCGAUAGAUUCAGGGUCUAUUCGUGCAGGCGUUCGUGGGUUCAAAUCCCAUCCCCUGCACCA